rnacentral:rRNA from 1 species
UCCUUCCGUAGGUGAACCUGCGGAAGGAUCAUUAAUUAUGUUAAAGCGCCUUACCUUAGGGUUUCCUCUGGGGUAAGUGAUUGCUUCUACACUGUGAAAAUUUGGCUGAGAGACUCAGACUGGUCAUGGGUAGACCUAUCUGGGGUUUGAUCGAUGCCACUCCUGGUUUCAGGAGUACCCUUCAUAAUAAACCUAGAAAUUCAGUAUUAUAAAGUUUAAUAAAAAACAACUUUUAACAAUGGAUCUCUUGGUUCUCGCAUCGAUGAAGAACGUAGCAAAGUGCGAUAACUAGUGUGAAUUGCAUAUUCAGUGAAUCAUCGAGUCUUUGAACGCAGCUUGCACUCUAUGGUUUUUCUAUAGAGUACGCCUGCUUCAGUAUCAUCACAAACCCACACAUAACAUUUGUUUAUGUGGUGAUGGGUCGCAUCGCUGUUUUAUUACAGUGAGCACCUAAAAUGUGUGUGAUUUUCUGUCUGGCUUGCUAGGCAGGAAUAUUACGCUGGUCUCAGGAUCUUUUUUUUUGGUUCGCCCAGGAAGUAAAGUACAAGAGUAUAAUCCAGUAACUUUCAAACUAUGAUCUGAAGUCAGGUGGGAUUACCCGCUGAACUUAAGCAUAUCAAUAAGCGGAGGAA